rnacentral:rRNA from 1 species
UACAGAGGUCUCAAGCGUUGUUCGGAUUCAUUGGGCGUAAAGGGUGCGUAGGCGGCGCGGUAAGUCGGGUGUGAAAUCUCGGAGCUUAACUCCGAAACUGCAUUCGAUACUGCCGUGCUUGAGGACUGGAGAGGAGACUGGAAUUUACGGUGUAGCGGUGAAAUGCGCAGAUAUCGGGAGGAACACCAAUGGCGAAGGCAGCUCGCUGGGACGGUACCGACGCUGAGGCGCGAAAGCGUGGGGAGCAAACAGG